UACAGAGGUCUCAAGCGUUGUUCUGAUUCCUUGGGCGUAAAGGGUGUGUAGGUGGCGCCGUAAGUCGGGUGUGAAAUUUCGGAGCUUAACUCCGAAACUGCAUUCGAUACUGCGGUGCUUGAGGACUGGAGAGGAGACUGGAAUUCAUGGUGUAGCAGUGAAAUGCGUAGAGAUCAUGAGGAAGACCAGUGGCGAAGGCGGGUCUCUGGACAGUUCCUGACACUGAGACACGAAGGCCAGGGGAGCAAACGGG
rnacentral:rRNA from 1 species